AUUGAACGCUGGCGGCAGGCCUAACACAUGCAAGUCGAACGAGUGGCGGACGGGUGAGUAAUGUAUGGGAAACUGCCUGAUGGAGGGGGAUAACUACUGGAAACGGUAGCUAAUACCGCAUACUAUCAGAUGAGCCCAGAUGGGAUUAGCUUGUUGGUGGGGGAACGGCUCACCAAGGCGACGAUCUCUAGCUGGUCUGAGCGGAGGACAAGCCACACUGGAACUGAGACACGGUCCAGACUCCUACGGGAGGCAGCAGUGGGGAAUAUUGCACAAUGGGCGCAAGCCUGAUGCAUCCAUGCCGCGUGUAUGAAGAAGUCCUUCGGGUUGUAAAGUACUUUCAGCGGGGAGGCGUUACCCGCAGAAGAAGCACCGGCUAACUCCGUGCCAGCAGCCGCGGUAAUAC
rnacentral:rRNA from 1 species